rnacentral:rRNA from 1 species
AGAGUUUGAUCCUGGCUCAGAUUGAACGCUGGCGGCAUGCUUUACACAUGCAAGUCGAACGGGAUCCGUCAAGCUUGCUUGGCGGUGAGAGUGGCGAACGGGUGAGUAAUGCGUGACCAACCUGCCCCAUGCUUCGGAAUAGCUCCUGGAAACGGGUGGUAAUGCCGGAUGCUCCGCGCUGUCGCAUGAUGGUGUGGGAAAGGGUUUACCGGCAUGGGAUGGGGUCGCGUCCUAUCAGCUUGUUGGCGGGGUGAUGGCCUGCCAAGGCUUCGACGGGUAGCCGGCCUGAGAGGGCGACCGGCCACAUUGGGACUGAGAUACGGCCCAGACUCCUACGGGAGGCAGCAGUGGGGAAUAUUGCACAAUGGGCGAAAGCCUGAUGCAGCGACGCCGCGUGCGGGAUGACGGCCUUCGGGUUGUAAACCGCUUUUGAUUGGGAGCAAGCGAGAGUGAGUGUACCUUUCGAAUAAGCACCGGCUAACUACGUGCCAGCAGCCGCGGUAAUACGUAGGGUGCAAGCGUUAUCCGGAUUUAUUGGGCGUAAAGAGCUCGUAGGCGGUUCGUCGCGUCUGGUGUGAAAGUCCAUCGCUUAACGGUGGAUCGGCGCCGGGUACGGGCGGACUGGAGUGCGGUAGGGGAGACUGGAAUUCCCGGUGUAACGGUGGAAUGUGUAGAUAUCGGGAAGAACACCGAUGGCGAAGGCAGGUCUCUGGGCCGUCACUGACGCUGAGGAGCGAAAGCGUGGGGAGCGAACAGGAUUAGAUACCCUGGUAGUCCACGCCGUAAACGAUGGAUACUCGUUGUUGGGGAUUACCCCUCAGUGACUAAGCGAAAGUAAUAAGUAUCCCACCUGGGGAGUACGACCGCAAGGUUGAAACUCAAAGGAAUUGACGGGGGCCCGCACAAGCGGUGGAGCAUGUGGUUUAAUUCGAAGCAACGCGCAGAACCUUACCAACCCUUGACAUCCCUGGACCGCCGGAGAGAUUCGGCUUUCUCGUAAGAGACCGGGUG